GGCAAUCGAGCACCACAGCGGACGGGAGCGGGGGACCCAGGUCAGUGCCCGGCCGCGCGCCAACCGUGCGCGUGUGUCGAGGCUAGGGGUGAAGCCGCUCUCCGGGCGGCCGGGCAACCUCGCGCCCGAACCCGACAGCUCACCUCGUAGGCGUCGCAGAGGACCACU
rnacentral:sRNA from 2 species